rnacentral:tRNA from 1 species
AUUUAAAUAGCUUAUAAAAGAGCGUGACACUGAAGAUGUUAAGGAAAUUAUUUAAUUUUUAAAUA